UACGAAGGGGGCUAGCGUUGCUCGGAAUUACUGGGCGUAAAGGGAGCGUAGGCGGAUAGUUUAGUCAGGGGUGAAAGCCCAGGGCUCAACCUUGGAAUUGCCUUUGAUACUGGCUAUCUUGAGUACGGAAGAGGUAUGUGGAACUCCGAGUGUAGAGGUGAAAUUCGUAGAUAUUCGGAAGAACACCAGUGGCGAAGGCGACAUACUGGUCCGUUACUGACGCUGAGGCUCGAAAGCGUGGGGAGCAAACAGG
rnacentral:rRNA from 1 species